rnacentral:rRNA from 1 species
UCGGGAAUUUUGGGCAAUGGGCGAAAGCCUGACCCAGCAACGCCGCGUGAAGGAUGAAGUAUUUCGGUAUGUAAACUUCGAAAGAAUGGGAAGAAUCAAUGACGGUACCAUUUAUAAGGUCCGGCUAACUACGUGCCAGCAGCCGCGGUAAUACGUAGGGACCAAGCGUUGUUCGGAUUUACUGGGCGUAAAGGGCGCGUAGGCGGCUUUGUAAGUCACUUGUGAAAUCUCCGGGCUUAACUCGGAACGGCCAAGUGAUACUGCAAAGCUAGAGUGCAGAAGGGGCAAUCGGAAUUCUUGGUGUAGCGGUGAAAUGCGUAGAUAUCAAGAGGAACACCUGAGGUGAAGACGGGUUGCUGGGCUGACACUGACGCUGAGGCGCGAAAGCCAGGGGAGCAAACGGGAUUAGAUACCCCUGUAGUCCCUGAGCGGGCUGGCA